GCGGCGUGCUUAACACAUGCAAGUCGAACGGAAAGGCCCUGCUUUUGUGGGGUGCUCGAGUGGCGAACGGGUGAGUAACACGUGAGUAACCUGCCCUUGACUUUGGGAUAACUUCAGGAAACUGGGGCUAAUACCGGAUAGGAGCUCCUGCUGCAUGGUGGGGGUUGGAAAGUUUCGGCGGUUGGGGAUGGACUCGCGGCUUAUCAGCUUGUUGGUGGGGUAGUGGCUUACCAAGGCUUUGACGGGUAGCCGGCCUGAGAGGGUGACCGGCCACAUUGGGACUGAGAUACGGCCCAGACUCCUACGGGAGGCAGCAGUGGGGAAUAUUGCACAAUGGGCGGAAGCCUGAUGCAGCAACGCCGCGUGCGGGAUGACGGCCUUCGGGUUGUAAACCGCUUUCGCCUGUGACGAAGCGUGAGUGACGGUAAUGGGUAAAGAAGCACCGGCUAACUACGUGCCAGCAGCCGCGGUGAUACGUAGGGUGCGAGCGUUGUCCGGAUUUAUUGGGCGUAAAGGGCUCGUAGGUGGUUGAUCGCGUCGGAAGUGUAAUCUUGGGGCUUAACCCUGAGCGUGCUUUCGAUACGGGUUGACUUGAGGAAGGUAGGGGAGAAUGGAAUUCCUGGUGGAGCGGUGGAAUGCGCAGAUAUCAGGAGGAACACCAGUGGCGAAGGCGGUUCUCUGGGCCUUUCCUGACGCUGAGGAGCGAAAGCGUGGGGAGCGAACAGGCUUAGAUACCCUGGUAGUCCACGCUGUAAAACGGUGGGUACUAGGUGUGGGGUCCAUUCCACGGGUUCCGUGCCGUAGCUAACGCUUUAAGUACCCCGCCUGGGGAGUACGGCCGCAAGGCUAAAACUCAAAGGAAUUGACGGGGCCCCGCACAAGCGGCGGAGCAUGCGGAUUAAUUCGAUGCAACGCGUAGAACCUUACCUGGGUUUGACAUGGAUCGGGAGUGCUCAGAGAUGGGUGUGCCUCUUUUGGGGUCGGUUCACAGGUGGUGCAUGGCUGUCGUCAGCUCGUGUCGUGAGAUGUUGGGUUAAGUCCCGCAACGAGCGCAACCCUUGUUCACUGUUGCCAGCACGUUAUGGUGGGGACUCAGUGGAGACCGCCGGGGUCAACUCGGAGGAAGGUGGGGAUGACGUCAAGUCAUCAUGCCCCUUAUGUCCAGGGCUUCACGCAUGCUACAAUGGCUGGUACAGAGAGUGGCGAGCCUGUGAGGGUGAGCGAAUCUCGGAAAGCCGGUCUCAGUUCGGAUUGGGGUCUGCAACUCGACCUCAUGAAGUCGGAGUCGCUAGUAAUCGCAGAUCAGCAACGCUGCGGUGAAUACGUUCCCGGGGCUUGUACACACCGCCCGUCAAGUCAUGAAAGUUGGUAACACCCGAAGCCGGUGGCCUAACCGUUGUGGGGGAGCCGUCGAAGGUGGGACUGGUGAUUAGG
rnacentral:rRNA from 1 species